AUUGAACGCUGGCGGCAGGCCUAACACAUGCAAGUCGAGCGGAUGAAGGGAGCUUGCUCCUGGAUUCAGCGGCGGACGGGUGAGUAAUGCCUAGGAAUCUGCCUGGUAGUGGGGGAUAACGUCCGGAAACGGGCGCUAAUACCGCAUACGUCCUGAGGGAGAAAGUGGGGGAUCUUCGGACCUCACGCUAUCAGAUGAGCCUAGGUCGGAUUAGCUAGUUGGUAGGGUAAAGGCCUACCAAGGCGACGAUCCGUAACUGGUCUGAGAGGAUGAUCAGUCACACUGGAACUGAGACACGGACCAGACUCCUACGGGAGGCAGCAGUGGGGAAUAUUGGACAAUGGGCGAAAGCCUGAUCCAGCCAUGCCGCGUGUGUGAAGAAGGUCUUCGGAUUGUAAAGCACUUUAAGUUGGGAGGAAGGGCAGUAAGUUAAUACCUUGCUGUUUUGACGUUACCAACAGAAUAAGCACCGGCUAACUUCGUG
rnacentral:rRNA from 1 species